AAUUAGCCCCGAGUGAAGUGAAAAUCCUUGUUAUGGUGAGAUUGCCGCGCAAGCUCGCAAUGGCAAGAUUGCAACGAAAAGCGGGAGCAGAG
rnacentral:sRNA from 2 species